ensembl:lncRNA
GCUGGUCACCUGAUGUACUGGAAUGUGUUUCCUGCUCACUGGGGGCUAUUUCCGUUAUUUCUAUUAUUUCCUUUAUUUCCAUUAUUUAUGUUCUUUUUCUUUGUCUGUCAUCUGAAGUGUUGGAGUGUGUUUCCGGAUCCCUGGAGGUUAGUUAUUUCCGUUAUUUCUGUUAUUUUCCUUAGCCGGUCACCUGAAGUACUGGACUGCGUUUCCUGCUCACUGGAGGUUAGUUAUUUCCAUUAUUUUUGUUAUUUAUUUCCCUUAUUUCCGUUUUUUCAGUUUUUUUUCUUAGGCGGUCACCUGAUGUGCUGGAUUGCAUUUUCUGCUCAUUGGAGGUUAUUUAUUUCUGUCAUUUCCGUCCUUUCCGUUAUCAUUCUUAGUCUGUCAUCUGAAAUGCUGGAGUGUGUUUCUGGCUCACUGGAGGUUAUUCAUUUCAGUUAUUUCUGUUAUUUCCGUUAUUUGUCUUAUUCUGUCAUCUGAAGUGCAGGAGUCUGUUUCCGGUUCACUGGAGGUUAUUCAUUUUCGUUAUUUCCGUUAUUUUUGUUAUUGUUCUUAGUC